rnacentral:misc_RNA from 1 species
AACGCACAUUGCGCCCGCCAGUAUUCUGGCGGGCAUGCCUGUUCGAGCGUCAUUUCAACCAUCAAGCCCCAGGCUUGUGUUGGAGCCCUGCGGCUGCCGCAGCCUCCCAAAACCAGUGGCGGGCUCGCUAUCACACCGAGUGCAGUAGUUUACUCUCCGCUCAGGGCGUGUGGCGGGUGCUGGCCGUGAAACCCCCUACUUCUCAAGGUUGACCUCGGAUCAGGUAGGAAUACCCGCUGAACUUAA